GGGCGGGUCUAAAUGCAAGUCGAGCGCGCCCUUCGGGGUGAGCGGCGGACGGGUUAGUAACGCGUGGGAACGUACCCUUCUCUAAGGAAUAGCCACUGGAAACGGUGAGUAAUACCUUAUACGCCCUUCGGGGGAAAGAUUUAUCGGAGAAGGAUCGGCCCGCGUUAGAUUAGAUAGUUGGUGGGGUAACGGCCUACCAAGUCUACGAUCUAUAGCUGGUUUGAGAGGAUGAUCAGCAACACUGGGACUGAGACACGGCCCAGACUCCUACGGGAGGCAGCAGUGGGGAAUCUUGGACAAUGGGCGCAAGCCUGAUCCAGCCAUGCCGCGUGAGUGAUGAAGGCCUUAGGGUCGUAAAGCUCUUUCGCCUGUGAAGAUAAUGACGGUAGCAGGUAAAGAAACCCCGGCUAACUCCGUGCCAGCAGCCGCGGUAAUACGGAGGGGGUUAGCGUUGUUCGGAAUUACUGGGCGUAAAGCGCGCGUAGGCGGACUAUUAAGUCAGGGGUGAAAUCCCGGGGCUCAACCCCGGAACUGCCUUUGAUACUGGUAGUCUUGAGUUCGAGAGAGGUGAGUGGAAUUCCGAGUGUAGAGGUGAAAUUCGUAGAUAUUCGGAGGAACACCAGUGGCGAAGGCGGCUCACUGGCUCGAUACUGACGCUGAGGUGCGAAAGUGUGGGGAGCAAACAGGAUUAGAUACCCCUGGUAGUCCACACCGUAAACGAUGAAUGCCAGUCGUCGGGUAGCAUGGCUAUUCGGUGACACACCUAACGGAUUAAGCAUUCCGCCUGGGGGAGUACGGUCGCAAGAUUAAAACUCAAAGGAAAUUGACGGGGGCCCGCACAAGCGGUGGAAGCAUGUGGUUUAAUUCGAAGCAACGCGCAGAACCUUACCAACCCUUGACUUCCUGAUCGCGGUUACGAAAA
rnacentral:rRNA from 1 species